rnacentral:rRNA from 1 species
UGGGGAAUAUUGCACAAUGGGCGCAAGCCUGUUGCAGCCAUGCCGCGUGUAUGAAGAAGGCCUUCGGGUUGUAAAGUACUUUCAGUCGGGAGGAAGGUGGUAAGGUUAAUAACCUUAUCAAUUGACGUUACCCGCAGAAGAAGCACCGGCUAACUCCGUGCCAGCAGCCGCGGUAAUACGGAGGGUGCAAGCGUUAAUCGGAAUUACUGGGCGUAAAGCGCACGCAGGCGGUCUGUCAAGUCGGAUGUGAAAUCCCCGGGCUUAACCUGGGAACUGCAUUCGAAACUGGCAGGCUAGAGUCUUGUAGAGGGGGGUAGAAUUCCAGGUGUAGCGGUGAAAUGCGUAGAGAUCUGGAGGAAUACCGGUGGCGAAGGCGGCCCCCUGGACAAAGACUGACGCUCAGGUGCGAAAGCGUGGGGAGCAAACAGG